rnacentral:misc_RNA from 1 species
CUAUUAACGGUCGUUACACAAAAGCUCAGCGAGAGAUUUAUGACCUGGUGCUGGAAGCGCAGAUGGCCUGUGUCGAGAUGGUCCGGCCCGGCACCACGCAUGACCAACUUAAAAGUCAUUCGAUCGCGGUGCUGACAGAAGGCAUGGUGCGUCUCGGACUAUUAAAGGGCGAUCCAGCUGAACUGAUCAAAGAGAAGAAGUACGAGCAGUUUUACAUGCAUGGGCUGGGUCACAUGCUGGGCAUCGAUGUACAUGACGUCGGCCGGUACUACUACGAAAAGAAGUCGCGCGCGCUGGAGCCGGGCGUGGUGAUGACAGUCGAG